CGGAUCAGUGAUGAGGAAUGGUGGUGUUUGAGUCGUGGAUGAUGCACAUAUGUGUCUGGAACUCUGAGCCCCAC